CAGCAGCCACGGUAAUACGUAGGUGGCAAGCGUUGUCCGGAAUUAUUGGGCGUAAAGCGCGCGCAGGUGGUUUAAUAAGUCUGAUGUGAAAGCCCACGGCUCAACCGUGGAGGGUCAUUGGAAACUGUUAAACUUGAGUGCAGGAGAGAAAAGUGGAAUUCCUAGUGUAGCGGUGAAAUGCGUAGAGAUUAGGAGGAACACCAGUGGCGAAGGCGGCUUUUUGGCCUGUAACUGACACUGAGGCGCGAAAGCGUGGGGAGCAAACAGGAUUAGAUACCCCAGUAGUCCCUGUCUCUUAUAC
rnacentral:rRNA from 1 species